rnacentral:lncRNA from 1 species
UAGCGAUUUAUAUAGAGUUUUGCUAUUUUGCCGGUUUUAAUUAAGUUAAAAAUAACUUAUAAUUGACAAUAUCAAACAUGUGAACACUAUAUAACUCAAGUUUAAACCUAAGUGACUCAGUUUAAUAAGUUACCCAAUACUUUAAAAAAAAAUACUUAUGAAAUCACGAUGUAGCAAUAAUCAUUUUAUACUUUCCAAUUAAAUCUUACCUGUAAAAUGGCGCAAAUGUAGUUUUUACAAUAGUAUCUUUGACAGCUACAUUUAUAAAAUAAAGAAUAAAAACGGGGAAUGAGUCAAAGAGACAGCAACCAAAUCAAAAUAUACAAUUCAACCAAAGGUCAUUGGGUCUACAACACAGCGAAAAAUCACUCACCUAGAGGGAGCCGUGAGCCGC